AUCAUCUUCCACCUCUACGCUAUCUCCAUCCAAACCAACUUCUACUCUACCCAAAACCAAACCCCUGCUACCUAUUACGUCUACAGCCGCCUAUCGCCAUCGUCGACACCGCCAUCACUUACGGCCCUAAUCGUCACCAUCGCCACGAUUGUCACCAUCACUUCCAACAUAGCAAAAUCCGCAAAUAACAAUCACAACACAGUAAAAUCUAAAACCAAACCCUUGCUACCUAUCGUCAUCUACAACCCGCCCGUCACUGCCACCAUCGCCCAUGGCCACCACCAUUAAAACCAAUACAAAGCAAAAUCCCUAAAUCACAAUCACAACACGAAACAAAACCUAAAACCAAUCCCAUGCUACCCAUUGUUGUCCACAGCUGCCAGCCGUUGCCCCAUCGCCAUCAUCAUCCACAGCUUCUAGUACAACUGCCAACAGAAAGCAAAAUCCCCAAAUCACAAUCAUGGAUCACAAUAACACAAUGCAAAACCCUUAAAUCAACCUCUAUAUUGAUCAAAUGAUUUAUUGACCCUUAAACUUCCUUUCGCUACCAAAUUGAUAGGUUUAGCUGGAGUCGACACACCCAUCACCCAUGUUACGCGAAGCUUAAAAUCAAGAACUUUCCUUCACGAACAUCUCUCCUUCUCCUAUGUACCGAUACCACAUACGACCCACCAGAUUCCCCCACUUUCAUCACAGGCUUCCACCACGACCCCUCGCCCUUCGCCACCUUUCAAGCGAGCAUAUGAGAAGAGGAUUUGGAGAAAUGAAUGAUAAUGAGAAAAGAAGUUUGAAAGAGUGGAGAAAAUGACGGUGGCAUGACACCCAGAGGGUGGCACGUUCGACAGUCGGUGGCAGUGGUAACGAGAUUGAUUUUUCCCAUUUUUCGGUAGGUGAGGGUGGAAU
rnacentral:lncRNA from 1 species